CUGCGCCGAGCUCUGCCAUGGCGGCCUGGACGUGCUGCCGGGUGGCCGCCGUGUCCUGCCUGGUGCUCUGCGUCUCCCUCCUCCUGCCGCGCACCUUCCUGCCCCGGGCCGGCGGCAGGCAGGAGCCCGGCGCCGCGCCGCCCGAGGGGAAGCUCAGUCGCUUUCCACUGAGGAUGCAUUCCCACGCCACUCCCGACAGCCGAGCUGUCCCUCAUUUUCCAAGGUCUCACCUUACUGAAGCAGUUGCCAAAGCCAAGGCAGGUGGAGGUGGUAGUGGAAGCACUGGUGGAAGUGGAAGAGGCCUUGUGGGACAGAUUAUCCCUAUAUAUGGAUUUGGCAUCUUUUUAUAUAUUCUAUACAUUUUAUUUAAGCUGGCUUCCAAGGGAAGAACUACUCCUGCAGAGCGGAAAUGCCCUCCUGCUACACCUGGGAACAUGAAGAGGAAAAUCACUGACUAUGAGCUCACUCAACUCCAGGAAAGACUGAGAGAGACAGAAGAAGCAAUGGAAAAAUUAAUCAACAGAGUAGGACCUAUGUAUGACAGGACUCAAAAUGUUACAACAGACCAGGAAAAAAUGCUACUUCAACAACUCAGAGAAAUUACUAGAGUUAUGAAAGAAGGAAAAUUCAUAGAUGACAUCUCUCCUGAGAAGGAAGCUGAGGAAGCUCCUUACAUGGCAGAUUGGGAAGGUUAUCCAGAAGAGACCUAUCCUGUCUACGAUAAUUCCGAUUGCUUCAAGUGCAAACAGGACACAAUCCUUGUAGAUUACCCUGACCUGAGCCAGCCCUCUCCAGAAGAGCUGGCAGAAAGAAUGGAGGGCAUGGAAGAUGAGGAGUAUCCUUAUGAUGAAACCCUGCUAAGUGAUCUUACCACAGGAAUGGGUGGUCAGGAUUUAAUGCAGAAAAAGGAUGAUGUAACUCUCGUCAAGGAGGAGAAGAGUGACCUUCCUCCCAGCCAGAGCACUGGGGAGUGCUGCUGUUGCUGUGAUGAUGAUCCUGCUGUCAUAGCAGAGAAUGCUGGAUUCCACUCUGAGAGCUGCAGUGAAGUAGAAGAGACAAGCCAAGAGGACCUGUCCGUGGAGUCAGAAAAUGAGAAUGCUACACUGGAAAAGCAAAAAUCCAGUGAUUCAGAGGAGACAGGCACGCUGAGAAAGCGCAACACCAAAGUACUUGAUUGAUGAGCGACAACCAUCUGGAUGGUAAAGGUAGAGGUCAUCAACUGUCAUCCACCUCGGUUUUGUUCCCACUGAGGACUUCUCUGUGUUCAUUUCCUUGUACCUAUUGCAUUCUCAUGGUACCAGUCACAUCAUCUGCCUGAACUGGAAGGCAGUGCCCUCUUUCAUGCCCACUUAUCAUGGGUUACCAUGAUGCUGCCAGCAGUGCUUUGUCCUUGAUUUUUGAAGCCUUGUCUUUUGGAACAGAUAUUUGUGACUCGUUCCUUUUCAAUUCUGAAGGAGCUGUCCUUGGUUUUGCCCUUUGUCAUCCAGAGUUAACCAAAUGUCUCUCCUGGCUUUUUCAAAACAAUCUGUGUGCUACUAGUUAGAAGAGUUAAUCAAAUCCUUAUAUAUACAUGAGUUUACUGGGAUGCUGAAGGACAAAAUAUGCCUUCUUUCUCUUAGCUCGGUGUUAGCUGGUCAUCAGAGCAGAUCAUAGUCACACACAUGACUCUCUCAACUCUGUCAUUGCUCUCUACUCUUGAGAAACUGCUGUCACCACAAUCCACAAAGCUCCUCUGCUACCCUACAGCUCCUUUCCCAUUUAUUCCGUAUUGUUGGUAUGGUAGCCUAAUCCAUGUUGUGUUACUUGUGUGAGCAAGACUCAAGCUCUGUGAGUUGUGCUUUAACUUUGCCUUAGCUGUGGUGAAAUUCCCAGAUGAUUGCAGGAAGUGGACCACAAUGUGUGAGAGCACUAAAAAUAUCCCUAGAUAUUAAAACCAAAAGAGCAGUGUUAAGGUUUGUCUGUAAAGCAGAGAAGAGUAUGAGGAGGACCCUCAGACUGAAGAUAGCAGGUAGCCUUUUCCUUCUUCCUGGAAACCUGUGGAUUUUUUAUGCUCUUGGAAUGCUGUUGCCAGGGUCAUGUUGAGGCCACCCCAGGUAUAGGAUGAGGAGGGUGCUGGAGCCAAGGACUCCUGAGGACAGGUGGCAGGUCCCUGUGCCCAAGGGACGGCUUUUCUUGUACAAACAGCAUGGCAGGUGGGAUGGGCUCCAGGAAAGGUUCCCUCAGCUCUCAUUACUCUCCUGCUUCUCCCAUACCUGGGCACUUUUCAGGCCCACCAUAACCUGAUGUACUGGGCCACUCUCAUGGCCCAGUCACAGUGGCUGUUUGUGAUGUCACCAGUCCCCUGAGUGCUCUGGCACUACAGAAGCAGAUGUCUCCCUGUCCACCCAGCUCUGAGGCCCUUGAUGAAAGUCUGGAAGAAAGAAAAACCAGAGCAGCGAGGCGGCUGGCAGACCACCUUUGCAAGGGAUGGCAGCAGGGCCCCUUCCAAUGAUGACCGAAGAGGAAGGUAUGUGCCAGGAGGAGGCCGUGGAAGAGAAGGAACAAAAUCACCCCUCUGCCACAAGUACCACCGCCCUCAGUUCCCUGGUCACGGCCAUGCAGAGCUUGGCUCUGUGCCCACCAGGGAAAGGUGUGCAGCCCAUGGACAUCGGCCUGCCAGGCAACCACCGGAGCAGUGAGCUGGGUGGCCGACCACCUUUGUGUGGGACAGCACAGAGACGUGUCCGGCAGCAGCCAAAGGGGGAGUCACUUUCCCUGGGCCUGAAAAAUGGCAAUCGACAGUGCAGGAGGAGGAGGGGAAGGAGAAGAAGGAGGAGCAUCAGCCCUUGCACCAUGAGAGCCAUUGCCAACAUGCGAGGAACGACAUCCAGCGUAUGCCUCCAGGAAUUCUGGCGGCUCAAAAUCCGCACCUGCCUGACUGAAAAAUAAGCAACAAGACAAGGAUGAAAAUCCUGUCAUCCUCCUUAUUUGGUACUUUGGUGACAGCACCUUUGCUCCCAUGACCCCUUAAGUAGGAGGUGGUUUUUAGAAAAUUUAGAAACUUUCCAGUUCCAUGCCCCUAUCCUGCUUUGCUGCUGCUAUCUUACACCCUGGGAUUUUUUAGGCUAUGACAUCAACAAAUUGAGACUAGUUUUUUUAAACUGAAUAAAGUUAUCAUAAUGAAGGCAUGGAGCCCUAGGAAUUUCUUCUUUGCAAACGUGCUAGGGAAUAUUAUGGAGUCCCAGCCUCCACACGGAGCCUGUCCUACUAGCUCACCCAUUCCAUCUCCUGGCAUCAACAAUCAUUUGUUGAUUGCCAUGCAUUAUAUAAGCCCUUCCUUCUCAUCCCCUACCCCACCCUUCCUGGAGCUCCUCAGGGAAAGACAUGAAUUGACUUGGCUUUCACCAGGCUACUGUGCUGAGGUGACAGGAGUUAUUCCCAAGAGGGCCACUGAGGUUCCUGGGGUCUGGAGGUGGGGUUGCUUCAGUCCGAGGUCAGCAACAAUCCCUGAUGAAUGAGUGAAGUCAGCCUUGCAUAAAGAAUAUUAGCAGACCAAGCCCAGAACGUAGACAGCUGUUUCUUUGGCAAAGCAACAGAUGGCAGAAAGAAGUGCUAGCCUUCACAUGGAGGUCCCUUCUAGCUGCUUCAUAGGAAGUUCUUUUCAAUGUUGGGAAAUAAAUUUAAAAAAAAACAAACCAAUAAACCAAAAAAAUAACAGCAAAAUUUCUUUCUCCUUCUCUUUUUUUGGGAUUUGGUGAGUGCCUAUGGAUUCCUCUGUCCCCUCUUGGUCUCCACAGCCCUGGAAAGGUACUAAUGUGUGGGGUACAGGUACAGCCCAGGCCUUGGAGAUGGUGAGGAGUUGGGGCCCACAGCACACAAGGGUAGGCUGAGGGAGCUACCUCUAGUCACGACGGUGGGGCAGUGGUGGAGUUGGUGCCCAGUGAAAGUGUGGAUGCCCCAUCCUUGUCAACAUUCAAGGUCAGGUUGGCUGGGGCUUUGGCCAAUCUGAUCUAGUGCCAGUCACACCCCAGUGUUCAAUCAAGCCCUUACAUCAUUCCCCAGUGCUUCCAAGGAAACGGUAGGAGAUGUGCUGGAGCUCUGCUGUGGAUACAGGCACAGCCCAGUGGGAUUGUCACAGACUGGUGAGUGUUCCCUGGGUGUCACUGGAACUGUGACACUCUGAGGCAGAGAGGAGCAUCCCAGGUAGGCAUCCCACCGCAUCUACACAUCCACCAUGGGCCUCUGGGACACUCUGCUUUAAUGAAAUUAAUUGGAUUCCCCUGGUCUGCACCAGCUCCAAGCCAGAUGCUGGGUGCCAGUCAAGCAAGGUGCCAGAGAGCCUCAAGAGCUCAUCCCUGAGGUGUCAAUGGCCUUGUCAGCCCCUCCCCAAGGACCAGUAAGUGCUCUCUGAACAUAGCCAGCCUUGUCUCCUGUAGCAGCUCACCAGCAGCCUUCAAACUGGGAUUCCUCCUGUUUGAAUAUUUCCUUUUCAUCCUUUGACUCAGCUUUCCCCCCUCUGAAACAGAAAUGUCUAUUUAGAGGAGCAUUUUAGAAAAGGACCAUCAAAUGUGUGUCUCCAGCUUUCUCAACUAUUAACUGCUCACUUCUACUACAGAACAUUCAUAAUUUGAAGGAGAGCUUUGCUGAUCAAAAUCAGGAUUUUCAAGAGAACUUUGAUGAAGUAAGUAAAUCAAAUCAUAGGUCAGAACAUCAGCAAAGCUGGAAAUUUGAGAAAAAGUCACAGAAGCUCAAGUGGAUGCCCAUUGGAAGCAGUCAGGCCCUUUAAAAGCACACGUUCCUUUACUUGUGAUGUUUCCCACCUGGCAAAUGAAUGGCUGUACUUUUUGUUAAUGCUAAAAGAAAGAGCACAUGUGUUGUUAAAACGAAAUAUUAUGAUAAAACUAGAUUUUAAAACCCACUGUUGGGCUUAAUUCUCCCUGGAUAUUUGAGAAUGGUUACAGAUUGUUUUGGGCAUUCCAUGGGAUCAGGAAAAAAGCAAAAAGUAAGAUCACUGCUGGCCCCAAAAAUACUCUAAAGAGCAUUAGUUAUCAAAUAGUAUUUGGAGAACAGAUAAAUAUCUUAGAAGUUUAUGACCUAACUCUUUGCAUUAGCAGUUAGUGUCCAUAUCUUGGAUUUUUAAUUUUCCAGUUAAGAAUAAGGAAACUAUGCUUACCUUUGAGAACACAGAACAAUCUAGUGCAAUAAUCUAUUUAAAUGAUAUUGACUUGCAAAUUCUAAUAAAAAUAAUAAAAUAAUAUGUUUCUAACCUCAUGUAUCACAAACACUGAGGAAGAAAAACCAAGUAAGUGUUAGAAAAUCAUCUAUAUAUCAAUGGUUUUAUACUGACCAUGUAUUUCAAAGCGAAUGAAUGCAACACCAGAUCAGACAGACUGAGCAUGCCAAACACAGCAGGAAAGGCUGGUCUGAGCAAGUGAUUUUACUCAGCUUUGGAACUUCAUCAGUAUUUUGGGGGGGCACAGAUUCCUAAAGAGCAAAUAGACACCUCUCCUUUUUCUCAGUGAUCUUCCUGGGAUGGCUUAGAUAGUGCUAACAGACCACUGCUCCUCUCUGUUGGGAUCAAACACCUGCCCAAGUGCAAGAUUACCCAAACUAUAUUGCUCCUGACAGAGGAAAUUGUAAAAAUAAAGUUUAAAUGGCACUGGAAACUCCUAAUGUUAAAUAAUUCCAUAUCCAGUGGAAGUCAUUUAUUGAGGUGUUUCUGACCUUGGGUAGGGAAAGACAUCAUUGUUUCAAACAAAGUAAGUUUAAUAUUUCGGCACAGUGUUCUGAAUUCACAAACACUAAAAUCAGUCGUUGCACAUAGUGGUAAAUAAAUACAUUUACUCCAGAAUACCAAAGAGUUUCUUUAAAAAAAUUUAAUUUGCAAAAGCACAUUCUUGCAGGUUUAUCUAAAACUCUCUAAAGUCUGAACAAAAAGGGAGAUGCCUGGCUACUCAAAACAGGCCAAGACAGUCUUGUGUGCAAACAAGCCUGACAUGUUAUAGCUGUGGUGAAAAAACAUGUCUGGUUAAAUAUUAGUUCUCAUUAUUAGGUCAUUUUUUGUCAAAUUUGAUAUAUUCCAUUCUUUAAAACCCCAUAUAAUGUAAAGACAAUAGAGACCAUAACAUAUUCAAAUUCUAUGGUAUAACAUCGGUUUAUUUAAGAAAGGCAAAGAGAUGAAUCUGAAAAUGUUUACUGUGGGAAUAAAAAAAAAAAAUUAA